rnacentral:rRNA from 1 species
GACGAACGCUGGCGGCGUGCUUAACACAUGCAAGUCGAACGGAAAGGCCCUGCUUUUGUGGGGUGCUCGAGUGGCGAACGGGUGAGUAACACGUGAGUAACCUGCCCUUGACUUUGGGAUAACUUCAGGAAACUGGGGCUAAUACCGGAUAGGAGCUCCUGCUGCAUGGUGGGGGUUGGAAAGUUUCGGCGGUUGGGGAUGGACUCGCGGCUUAUCAGCUUGUUGGUGGGGUAGUGGCUUACCAAGGCUUUGACGGGUAGCCGACCUGAGAGGGUGACCGGCCACAUUGGGACUGAGAUACGGCCCAGACUCCUACGGGAGGCAGCAGGGGGGAAUAUUGCACAAUGGGCGGAAGCCUGAUGCAGCAACGCCGCGUGCGGGAUGACGGCCUUCGGGUUGUAAACCGCUUUCGCCUGUGACGAAGCGUGAGUGACGGUAAUGGGUAAAGAAGCACCGGCUAACUACGUG